AACUCUCAACAAAAAGGUCUAUAACCUCAGAUUAAUUUAUGUAAUUUUCUCAUUUCAUCAGCCAUCAUCCGAUCUUCUUCUCCGUCAAACUCUGAAAUUGGCAAUGAAAAUCUUGAUGGAUGUGAUAAACAGGUGCAGAUCUCGGUUCCGAAAGAAGCGACGAUGUCAUACGGCCCAGACGACAUGCUUGCCGAAUCUACCUUCCGUCAAAGAAAUCUAGCGAGUUGGAUCAUCGCUGUCAUACCUGAGGUGCAAGUAGUGCAAGCAUCACAAAGUACAUCCUUCAUCAUCUGUUUUUGUCCGUCCCCUUGGAUCAUCGCCGGUGUACUUCACGGUCCCAUGCCGUUUGAAUAUCAUUUAUAUAGCACCGUGACAGAGCCAAUAUCAACUGUCGGCCCGACGGAAGUCGAUUCUGAGAGGACAUUAGUGUUGGAGAAGGAAUAGCUUCGGAACGAGAAAUGACUGUGCACAACAUGUCAAGAACAGUUUCGGAACGAGAAACGGCUGUGCACAACAAAUUAGGAACAGCUUCGGAACAAGAAAUUUUCUCUUCAGAGAGACCUAUUUCUGAAACGGUGCCUCGUGAUUAUGGCUUCUUGAGAUGUAUGUGACCGUAGCGACGCAUCUUUCUUAACAGAUGCAUAUAACAUAUAUACAGAAUCUAUAGUGCAUGAUGGGUAUUUGAAAAUCUACAUUAGCUUUCUAUUGUUUGAAAGGACAAAAUGUUGGAUAACCACUUAUGGCUCACUGAUAUUGGCCUCUAAUUUAAUAGAUUAUACAAGGUUUGUAUCGGCCCGGAUUGGUGUAAUUUGUCGUUGGACUAUCAAAUCCCAGAUGAAUUGGUAUGAAUGUUGAUUACAAUAGUCUGAAUGUUUAUGACAAUGAAUAUGCAUGUUGUACUUUUCAACUAAUUUGGAUGAUAAGGAAUUAUGGUCUCAAA